rnacentral:tRNA from 3 species
GGGCGUGUAGCUCAGUUGGUAGAGCGCCACCUCGACAUGGUGGAGGUCCCGGGUUCAAGCCCCGUCGCGCCCACAA